rnacentral:misc_RNA from 1 species
AAGGAGUCUUCUUCAUACGCGAGUCUUCGGGUGACAAACUCCUACGCCUCAAUAAAGUUAACGUAGGUUAUAGCUUCUACUGAUCAUCGACCGAUCUGGAUUUUCUCUGAAAGAUUUGAGUAAGAGCGUAUCUGUUGGGACCCGAAAGAUGGUGAACUAUGCCUGAAUAGGGUGAAGCCAGAGGAAACUCUGGUGGAGGCUCGUGGCGGUUCUGACGUGCAAAUCGAUCGUCAAAUUUGGGUAUAGGGGCGAAAGACUAAUCGAACCAUCUAGUAGCUGGUUCCCAC